AUACGGAGGAUGCAAGCGUUAUCCGGAUUUAUUGGGUUUAAAGGGUGCGUAGGCGGGACUGUAAGUCAGGGGUGAAAUACUGCAGCUUAACUGUAGCAUUGCCUUUGAAACUGCCGUUCUUGAGUACAGUUGAGGUAGGCGGAAUGUGGUGUGUAGCGGUGAAAUGCAUAGAUAUACCACAGAACGCCGAUUGCGAAGGCAGCUUACUAAGCUGUUACUGACGCUGAGGCACGAAAGCGUGGGGAUCAAACAGGAUUAGAUACCCUGGUAGUCCACGCUGUAAACGAUGAUUACUGGUUGUUGGCGAUAUAUAGCUAGUGACUGAGCGAAAGCAUUAAGUAAUCCACCUGGGGAGUACGUCGGCAACGAUGAAACUCAAAUGAAUUGGCGGGG
rnacentral:rRNA from 1 species